UUAAGCUAAGAAGAGCGUAGGGAGAAUGCCUUGGCAUUAGGAGCCGAUGAAGGACGUGAUAAGCUGCGAUAAGCUGCGGGGAUCAGCAAGUAUGAAUUGAUCCGCAGAUUUCCGAAUGGAGCAAUCCGUAUGUGUAUGCACAUACAUCAUAUACUGAAUCAAAUAGGUAUAUGAGGGGAACCGCCUGAACUGAAACAUCUAAGUAGGGCGAGGAAGAGAAAUCAACCGAGAUUCUGUGAGUAGUGGCGAGCGAAAGCGGAAGAGGCUAAACCAUAGGUAGCAAUACUUAUGGGGUUUCGGACAGCAUUUAGUAUUGAUAAUUUCUAGUUGAAACGUGUGGGAAAACGUACCGAAGAGUGUGAGAGUCACGUAAGCGAAAGAGAAAGUCAGCGAGCUGUAUCCAAAGUACCGCGGGACACGUGAAACCCCGUGGGAAGAUGGGGGGACCAUCCUCCAAGCCUAAAUACUACCUAAUGACCGAUAGCGAAUAGUACUGUGAAGGAACGGUGAAAAGAACCCCGGGAGGGGAGUGAAAAAGAACCUGAAACCCUAUGCUUACAAGCACCGAGAGCACGUCAAAGUGUGAUCGGGUACCUUUUGUAGAAUGGUCCGGCGAGUUAUUGUAUGCGGCAAGGUUAAGUGCUUAAGGCACGGAGCCGAAGCGAGAGCAAGUCUGAACAGGGCGAAAAAGUCGUAUGCAAUAGACCCGAAACCGAGUGACCUAUCCAUGUCCAGGCUGAAGUGGAGGUAAAACUCCAUGGAGGGCCGAACACACGUCCGUUGAAAAGGCCGGUGAUGAGGUGUGGAUAGCGGAGAAAUUCCAAUCGAACUCGGAUAUAGCUGGUUCUCUCCGAAAUAGCUUUAGGGCUAGCCUCGUGAAAGAUUACUGGAGGUAAAGCACUGAAUGGGCUAGGGGUCGAAAGAUUACUGAACCCUAUCAAACUAAGAAUGCCAGAUAAUUGAUUCACGGGAGUCAGACAAUGUGAGAUAAGUCUCAUUGUCAAAAGGGAAACAGCCCAGACCCACAGCUAAGGUCCCUAAACAUUGUUAAGUGGAAAAGGAUGUGGGGUUGCAUAAACAACCAGGAUGUUGGCUUAGAAGCAGCCACUCAUUAAAAGAGUGCGUAAUAGCUCACUGGUCGAGUGACCCUGCGCCGAAAAUUCAACGGGGCUAAACAAUGUACCGAAGCUUGGGAUUCUAAAGUAAUUUAGAGUGGUAGGAGAGCGUCGAAUAAGGGGUGAAGUCAGAGCGGAAGCGCUGGUGGACUUUAUUCGAGUGAGAAUGCCGGAAUGAGUAGCGAGAAUUAUGUGAGAAUCAUAAUGGCCGAAAAUCUAAGGUUUCCUGAGGAAGGUUCGUCCGCUCAGGGUAAGCCGGGGGCUAAGGCGAGGCGGAGACGCGUAGCCGAUGCACAUACGGUUGAAAUUCCGUAGCCACCGAAAGAUUUAAGUACAGGGACGCUUUAGAAGUGAUGUAGCCGGGCGAUGGUUGACCCGGUCGUAAGGGAUCGAAAAUGAGUAGAGAAGUCAUCAUGGAAAGAGACAAGAAAAGCUGUAUGAAUAUCUUAGGUGCCCGUACCGCAAACCGACACAGGUAGAUAGGAAGAAGAUUCUAAGGCCAACGGGAGAAGGGUUGUUAAGGAACUCGGCAAGUUGACCCCGUAACUUAGGGAUAAGGGGUGCUCAAGUGAUUGAGCCGCAGAGAAUAGGCCCAGGCGACUGUUUAGCAAAAACACAGGUCUCUGCUAAAUCGAAAGAUGACGUAUAGGGGCUGACACCUGCCCGGUGCCGGAAGGUUAAGAGGAGAUGUGAGAGCAUUGAAUUGAAGCCCCGGUAAACGGCGGCCGUAACUAUAACGGUCCUAAGGUAGCGAAAUUCCUUGUCAGGUAAGUUCUGACCCGCACGAAAGGUGUAACGAUCUGGGCACUGUCUCAACAACCCGCCCGGCGAAAUUGUAGUACCGGUGAAGAUGCCGGUUACCCGCGACUAGACGGAAAGACCCCAUGGAGCUUUACUGUAGCCUAAUAUUGGAUUUCGGUAUUUCA
rnacentral:rRNA from 1 species